rnacentral:lncRNA from 1 species
AAUAUCCUUGUAACGCGUGGCGCGCUGGUAUUCUGUAUUCCGGAUUCCGGAUUGUCCCUUGUACGUCAGUGCAGUACUGCGCAGUGUAGUGGCAUGCGGCAAGCGGCAAGGUCGGCGUUUUGCAUGGAAAGGAAGGAAUCAACAAUAAAUUGAAUGGAAAGCAAGGAGAUGGAGAAGUUUUGUAAUUCCAAUGCCAAACAUAUGCUUUUCUAAUGUGAAAAUGUGAAAAAGAUGAGAGAGGAAACGAGGACGAUAUGGGUAUUUUGGUGCGGUUAUCGCUGUUGAUUAUGGAAUAGACGGCUUCUUAAGCAACUUUUAGAACCGAAAACAAGCGGAUGAGAUUAUUACUCA